rnacentral:rRNA from 2 species
ACGACGAACGCUGGCGGCGUGCCUAAUACAUGCAAGUCGAACGAACUCUGGUAUUGAUUGGUGCUUGCAUCAUGAUUUACAUUUGAGUGAGUGGCGAACUGGUGAGUAACACGUGGGAAACCUGCCCAGAAGCGGGGGAUAACACCUGGAAACAGAUGCUAAUACCGCAUAACAACUUGGACCGCAUGGUCCGAGCUUGAAAGAUGGCUUCGGCUAUCACUUUUGGAUGGUCCCGCGGCGUAUUAGCUAGAUGGUGGGGUAACGGCUCACCAUGGCAAUGAUACGUAGCCGACCUGAGAGGGUAAUCGGCCACAUUGGGACUGAGACACGGCCCAAACUCCUGCGGGAGGCAGCAGUAGGGAAUCUUCCACAAUGGACGAAAGUCUGAUGGAGCAACGCCGCGUGAGUGAAGAAGGGUUUCGGCUCGUAAAACUCUGUUGUUAAAGAAGAACAUAUCUGAGAGUAACUGUUCAGGUAUUGACGGUAUUUAACCAGAAAGCCACGGCUAACUACGUGCCAGCAGCCGCGGUAAUACGUAGGUGGCAAGCGUUGUCCGGAUUUAUUGGGCGUAAAGCGAGCGCAGGCGGUUUUUUAAGUCUGAUGUGAAAGCCUUCGGCUCAACCGAAGAAGUGCAUCGGAAACUGGGAAACUUGAGUGCAGAAGAGGACAGUGGAACUCCAUGUGUAGCGGUGAAAUGCGUAGAUAUAUGGAAGAACACCAGUGGCGAAGGCGGCUGUCUGGUCUGUAACUGACGCUGAGGCUCGAAAGUAUGGGUAGCAAACAGGAUUAGAUACCCUGGUAGUCCAUACCGUAAACGAUGAAUGCUAAGUGUUGGAGGGUUUCCGCCCUUCAGUGCUGCAGCUAACGCAUUAAGCAUUCCGCCUGGGGAGUACGGCCGCAAGGCUGAAACUCAAAGGAAUUGACGGGGGCCCGCACAAGCGGUGGAGCAUGUGGUUUAAUUCGAAGCUACGCGAAGAACCUUACCAGGUCUUGACAUACUAUGCAAAUCUAAGAGAUUAGACGUUCCCUUCGGGGACAUGGAUACAGGUGGUGCAUGGUUGUCGUCAGCUCGUGUCGUGAGAUGUUGGGUUAAGUCCCGCAACGAGCGCAACCCUUAUUAUCAGUUGCCAGCAUUAAGUUGGGCACUCUGGUGAGACUGCCGGUGACAAACCGGAGGAAGGUGGGGAUGACGUCAAAUCAUCAUGCCCCUUAUGACCUGGGCUACACACGUGCUACAAUGGAUGGUACAACGAGUUGCGAACUCGCGAGAGUAAGCUAAUCUCUUAAAGCCAUUCUCAGUUCGGAUUGUAGGCUGCAACUCGCCUACAUGAAGUCGGAAUCGCUAGUAAUCGCGGAUCAGCAUGCCGCGGUGAAUACGUUCCCGGGCCUUGUACACACCGCCCGUCACACCAUGAGAGUUUGUAACACCCAAAGUCGGUGGGGUAACCUUUUAGGAACCAGCCGCCUAAGGUGGGACAGAUGAUUAGGGUG